GCUCAGGACGAACGCUGGCGGCGCGCCUAACACCUUUAAGUCGAACGAGCGAGAGAGAGCUUGCUUUCUCGAGCGAGUGGCGAACGGGUGAGUAACGCGUGAGGAACCUGCCUCAAAGAGGGGGACAACAGUUGGAAACGACUGCUAAUACCGCAUAAGCCCACGACCCGGCAUCGGGUAGAGGGAAAAGGAGCAAUCCGCUUUGAGAUGGCCUCGCGUCCGAUUAGCUAGUUGGUGAGGUAACGGCCCACCGAGGCGACGAUCGGUAGCCGGACUGAGAGGUUGAACGGCCACAUUGGGACUGAGACACGGCCCAGACUCCUACGGAAGGCAGCAGUGGGGAAUAUUGCACAAUGGGGGAAACCCUGAUGCAGCGACGCCGCGUGGAGGAAGAAGGUCUUCGGAUUGUAAACUCCUGUUGUUGAGGAAGAUAAUGACGGUACUCAACAAGGAAGUGACGGCUAACUACGUGCCAGCAGCCGCGGUAAAACGUAGGUCACAAGCGUUGUCCGGAAUUACUGGGUGUAAAGGGAGCGCAGGCGGGAAGGCAAGUUGGAAGUGAAAUCCAUGGGCUCAACCCAUGAACUGCUUUCAAAACUGUUUUUCUUGAGUAGUGCAGAGGUAGGCGGAAUUCCCGGUGUAGCGGUGGAAUGCGUAGAUAUCGGGAGGAACACCAGUGGCGAAGGCGGCCUACUGGGCACCAACUGACGCUGAGGCUCGAAAGUGUGGGUAGCAAACAGGAUUAGAUACCCUGGUAGUCCACACUGUAAACGAUGAUUACUAGGUGUUGGAGGAUUGACCCCUUCAGUGCCGCAGUUAACACAAUAAGUAAUCCACCUGGGGAGUACGACCGCAAUGUUAAA
rnacentral:rRNA from 1 species